GCUUGGAUUAAUGGGCUCGCCUACACUUCCAAGGACCCGUAAGGAUUUACGUGAAUAGCGAGUAACAUACUCAUCACCAUCACGCAUGAGAGACCGCACCAAUGUGGGGGCAGUAUAAAAUAUUGUCACUUUGAAUUUGUCAACAAUAUCCCAACUGCGUCCAGGAUCGGGAUAAUUGGGAGCCCCUUCAAAAAUGACAACAGUUGCUCCAUUGAGCAUGGGUCCAUAGGUUACAUAGCUAUGCCCAGUGAUCCAACCACAGUCAGCAGUGCACCAGUAGAUAUCAGAUGGCUUAUAGUCAAAUGCAUACUUGAAUGUUGUGGCAGUAUAAACCAUGUAUCCUCCAGUUGUAUGGAGAACACCCUUUGGUUUCCCCGUGCUCCCACUAGUAUACAGCAGAAAAAGAGGAUCUUCUGCAUCAACCCACUCUACUUCACAAGUAGUUGGAUAUUUAGGGACAACAUCCUGCCACCAUACAUCUCUUCCCACCUGCCAUUUAGUGCUUUCCCUCUUCAUAGCAGAUUCAUUUUCAUAAGUUAAACAUACAUCAACUGAGACGCCAUUUUUAGCAGAUUCAAUAAGGCUGGCAUCAACUAUGUCUUUGAGGGGAAUAACUUUAGAACCUCUUUUGACAGCAUUACAUGUAAUUACAACUUUUGGUUUACAGUCCACAAUUCUUUGGGCAAGAGAAUCGGCAGAAAAUCCUGCAAACACAACCGAGUGCACAGCACCAAUGCGAGCACAAGCAAGCAUUGCAAUAGGGAGUUCCAUGAGCAUGGGUAAAUAAAUCACAAUAGCAUCACCCUUCCUAACACCUUUAUCUUUUAAAUAAUUGGCCAGCUGGCAAACUCUUUGAAGAAGCUGAGAAUAAGUUAAAGAGUCUUGGGAACCAGGCUCAUUGGGCUCCCAGUAAAUUGCAAUUUUGUCAGCAUUUCCAGAUUCAACAUUUCUAUCCAAACAAUUGUAACAAAUGUUGGUGAUACCGCCCUUGAACCACUCAAUCUUAACGCUGCCGUUGCGGACAUCGAAAUUCUCGGACACAACCGAUUCGGCCCAUCUCCGUUUCCAGUAGAACUGAGAAGCAACAUCGGACCAAAAUCCUGCUGGAUCUUCAAUGGACCUUUUAUACAUCUCCAAGUACUUCUUAGGUGAGGGAACGAGAGCCUGACGAACAAAUUCAUCGUUGGGGAAAACAAGAUCGUCCUCUUCGGAAGCCAAAGCUUCUCCUAAAAUAACAGCGUUAAGACCAGUAAUUUUCCCAGCACGUGACGGCAGAGUAGACAUUGAGUCGACAUGCCUAAGGUGAUUUUUGGUGGUCUUGAGAGUUUGAUUCGCCAUCCGGAUCCCGCGUCGACAAAAGCGUCGGCGACAAAGACGAGAGGCGGAGGCGGAGACGGAGGCGGAACGCCUCGCGACAGUUGGAGGAGAUUUGACUAAAGAAACGUCAAAAACCACGGGAGAUAUUUGAACAGCGAGAGCUUCACGUGCUGCUCCUGGUGAUAGUGAACUCGCCACCUUCAUGAUUGUUUGAUGGGUUGAAGUUGAAGGGAAUCUAGAUGUGGAGAUUAAUUACACUGAAAGGCUAGACCACUAUAUCGGUAAUCACUAACUACUUGAAUUGACCCAGUCAUUCAUUAGAGAAAAUGAUGU
rnacentral:misc_RNA from 1 species